AUGAUAUCAUGUGAAGAGGCAGAUAAGAGAGGCUCAGAAGAGCUCACUGUAGAAAUGAACCUUAGGAGAGAGGUGUCGAACAUGGUCUUGGUCUUAGGCCUCCUGGUCUUCUGUCACUUCUCGGGUUCCCUCUCCCAGCCUGUGUUGACUCAGAUAUCCUCUGUCUCUGCAUCUCCUGGAUCUUCUGCCAGACUCAUGUGCACACUGAGCAGUGGUUUUAAAGUACCUGGAUAUCAUAUAUCCUGGUACCAGCAAAAGACAGAGAAUGCACCUCAGUUUCUGCUAAGAUACUACUCAGAAUCAGAUAAGUACCAGGGACCUGGGGUCCCCAGCCGCUUCUCUGGAUCCAAAGAUGCCUCAGCCAAUGCAGGGAUUUUACUCAUCUCUGGACUUCAGCCUGAUGAUGAGGCUGACUAUUACUGUGGAACAUAUCAUGGCAACACUGGCAUUAACACAGUGAUCCGGACAUAG